GAUGAACGCUGGCGGCGUGCCUAAUACAUGCAAGUCGAGCGAACAGACGAGGAGCUUGCUCCUCUGACGUUAGCGGCGGACGGGUGAGUAACACGUGGAUAACCUACCUAUCAGACUGGGAUAACUUCGGGAAACCGGAGCUAAUACCGGAUAAUAUAUUGAACCGCAUGGUUCAAUAGUGAAAGACGGCUUUGCUGUCACUUAUAGCUGGAUCCGCGCCGCAUUAGCUAGUUGUUAAGGUAACGGCUUACCAAGGCGACGAUGCGUAGCCGACCUGAGAGGGGGAUCGGCCACACUGGAACUGAGACGCGGUCCAGACUCCUACGGGAGGCAGCAGUAGGGAAUCUUCCGCAAUGGGCGAAAGCCUGACGGAGCAACGCCGCGUGAGUGAUGAAGGUCUUCGGAUCGUAAAACUCUGUUAUUAGGGAAGAACAAAUGUGGAAGUAACUAUGCACGUCUUGACGGUACCGAAUCAGAAAGCCACGGCUAACUACGUG
rnacentral:rRNA from 1 species